UUAAGUUAUUAAGGGCGCACGGUGGAUGCCUUGGCACUAGAAGCCGAUGAAGGACGUUACUAACGACGAUAUGCUUUGGGGAGCUGUAAGUAAGCUUUGAUCCAGAGAUUUCCGAAUGGGGAAACCCAGCAUGAGUUAUGUCAUGUUAUCGAUAUGUGAAUACAUAGCAUAUCAGAAGGCACACCCGGAGAACUGAAACAUCUUAGUACCCGGAGGAAGAGAAAGAAAAUUCGAUUCCCUUAGUAGCGGCGAGCGAAACGGGAAGAGCCCAAACCAACAAGCUUGCUUGUUGGGGUUGUAGGACACUCUAUACGGAGUUACAAAAGAACAUGUUAGACGAAUCAUCUGGAAAGAUGAAUCAAAGAAGGUAAUAAUCCUGUAGUCGAAAAUGUUGUCUCUCUUGAGUGGAUCCUGAGUACGACGGAGCACGUGAAAUUCCGUCGGAAUCUGGGAGGACCAUCUCCUAAGGCUAAAUACUCUCUAGUGACCGAUAGUGAACCAGUACCGUGAGGGAAAGGUGAAAAGCACCCCGGAAGGGGAGUGAAAUAGAACCUGAAACCGUGUGCUUACAAGUAGUCAGAGCCCGUUAAUGGGUGAUGGCGUGCCUUUUGUAGAAUGAACCGGCGAGUUACGAUCUGAUGCAAGGUUAAGCAGCAAAUGUGGAGCCGCAGCGAAAGCGAGUCUGAAUAGGGCGUUGAGUAUUUGGUCGUAGACCCGAAACCAGGUGAUCUACCCUUGGUCAGGUUGAAGUUCAGGUAACACUGAAUGGAGGACCGAACCGACUUACGUUGAAAAGUGAGCGGAUGAACUGAGGGUAGCGGAGAAAUUCCAAUCGAACCUGGAGAUAGCUGGUUCUCUCCGAAAUAGCUUUAGGGCUAGCCUCAAGUGAUGAUUAUUGGAGGUAGAGCACUGUUUGGACGAGGGGCCCCUCUCGGGUUACCGAAUUCAGACAAACUCCGAAUGCCAAUUAAUUUAACUUGGGAGUCAGAACAUGGGUGAUAAGGUCCGUGUUCGAAAGGGAAACAGCCCAGACCACCAGCUAAGGUCCCAAAAUAUAUGUUAAGUGGAAAAGGAUGUGGCGUUGCCCAGACAACUAGGAUGUUGGCUUAGAAGCAGCCAUCAUUUAAAGAGUGCGUAAUAGCUCACUAGUCGAGUGACACUGCGCCGAAAAUGUACCGGGGCUAAACAUAUUACCGAAGCUGUGGAUUGUCCUUUGGACAAUGGUAGGAGAGCGUUCUAAGGGCGUUGAAGCAUGAUCGUAAGGACAUGUGGAGCGCUUAGAAGUGAGAAUGCCGGUGUGAGUAGCGAAAGACGGGUGAGAAUCCCGUCCACCGAUUGACUAAGGUUUCCAGAGGAAGGCUCGUCCGCUCUGGGUUAGUCGGGUCCUAAGCUGAGGCCGACAGGCGUAGGCGAUGGAUAACAGGUUGAUAUUCCUGUACCACCUAUAAUCGUUUUAAUCGAUGGGGGGACGCAGUAGGAUAGGCGAAGCGUGCGAUUGGAUUGCACGUCUAAGCAGUAAGGCUGAGUAUUAGGCAAAUCCGGUACUCAUUAAGGCUGAGCUGUGAUGGGGAGAAGACAUUGUGUCUUCGAGUCGUUGAUUUCACACUGCCGAGAAAAGCCUCUAGAUAGAAAAUAGGUGCCCGUACCGCAAACCGACACAGGUAGUCAAGAUGAGAAUUCUAAGGUGAGCGAGCGAACUCUCGUUAAGGAACUCGGCAAAAUGACCCCGUAACUUCGGGAGAAGGGGUGCUCUUUAGGGUUAACGCCCAGAAGAGCCGCAGUGAAUAGGCCCAAGCGACUGUUUAUCAAAAACACAGGUCUCUGCUAAACCGUAAGGUGAUGUAUAGGGGCUGACGCCUGCCCGGUGCUGGAAGGUUAAGAGGAGUGGUUAGCUUCUGCGAAGCUACGAAUCGAAGCCCCAGUAAACGGCGGCCGUAACUAUAACGGUCCUAAGGUAGCGAAAUUCCUUGUCGGGUAAGUUCCGACCCGCACGAAAGGCGUAACGAUUUGGGCACUGUCUCAACGAGAGACUCGGUGAAAUCAUAGUACCUGUGAAGAUGCAGGUUACCCGCGACAGGACGGAAAGACCCCGUGGAGCUUUACUGUAGCCUGAUAUUGAAAUUCGGCACAGCUUGUACAGGAUAGGUAGGAGCCUUUGAAACGUGAGCGCUAGCUUACGUGGAGGCGCUGGUGGGAUACUACCCUAGCUGUGUUGGCUUUCUAACCCGCACCACUUAUCGUGGUGGGAGACAGUGUCAGGCGGGCAGUUUGACUGGGGCGGUCGCCUCCUAAAAGGUAACGGAGGCGCUCAAAGGUUCCCUCAGAAUGGUUGGAAAUCAUUCAUAGAGUGUAAAGGCAUAAGGGAGCUUGACUGCGAGACCUACAAGUCGAGCAGGGUCGAAAGACGGACUUAGUGAUCCGGUGGUUCCGCAUGGAAGGGCCAUCGCUCAACGGAUAAAAGCUACCCCGGGGAUAACAGGCUUAUCUCCCCCAAGAGUUCACAUCGACGGGGAGGUUUGGCACCUCGAUGUCGGCUCAUCGCAUCCUGGGGCUGUAGUCGGUCCCAAGGGUUGGGCUGUUCGCCCAUUAAAGCGGUACGCGAGCUGGGUUCAGAACGUCGUGAGACAGUUCGGUCCCUAUCCGUCGUGGGCGUAGGAAAUUUGAGAGGAGCUGUCCUUAGUACGAGAGGACCGGGAUGGACAUACCUCUGGUGUACCAGUUGUCGUGCCAACGGCAUAGCUGGGUAGCUAUGUGUGGACGGGAUAAGUGCUGAAAGCAUCUAAGCAUGAAGCCCCCCUCAAGAUGAGAUUUCCCAACUUCGGUUAUAAGAUCCCUCAAAGAUGAUGAGGUUAAUAGGUUCGAGGUGGAAGCAUGGUGACAUGUGGAGCUGACGAAUACUAAUCGAUCGAAGACUUAAUCAA
rnacentral:rRNA from 1 species